CUCUUUUAGAUUUCCCUUUUGUAUAUACCUUGCCUUUUGUAUCCUUGAUUCCUCUGCUCUUGCCUUUUUAUUGCCAAAAGUCUAUACGUUUUGCUCUAGUUCUCUCUGGUUCUCUCUUGGUUUCUCACGUGUUGUGCCAUUUUUGUAUUUGUUACCCUCUCUUUUUUACUGCCUUUUUGUGUGUGUUACUCUCCCCUUUUUU
rnacentral:lncRNA from 1 species